rnacentral:rRNA from 1 species
UGGGGAAUAUUGCACAAUGGGCGAAAGCCUGAUGCAGCAACGCCGCGUGAGUGAUGAAGGCCUUCGGGUUGUAAAGCUCUGUCUUCUGGGACGAUAAUGACGGUACCAGAGGAGGAAGCCACGGCUAACUACGUGCCAGCAGCCGCGGUAAUACGUAGGUGGCAAGCGUUGUCCGGAUUUACUGGGCGUAAAGGAUGCGUAGGCGGAUGCUUAAGUCAGAUGUGAAAUUCCCAGGCUUAACUUGGGAACUGCAUUUGAAACUGGGUAUCUAGAGUGCGGGAGAGGAAAGUGGAAUUCCUAGUGUAGCGGUGAAAUGCGUAGAGAUUAGGAAGGACACCAGUGGCGAAGGCGACUUUCUGGACCGUAACUGACGCUGAGGCAUGAAAGCGUGGGGAGCAAACA